rnacentral:rRNA from 1 species
CCUACGGGAGGCAGCAGUAGGGAAUCUUUCACAAUGGGCGCAAGCCUGAUGGAGCAACGCCGCGUGCAGGAUGAAGGCCUUCGGGUUGUAAACUGCUUUUAUAAGCGAGAAAUAUGAUGGUAACUUAUGAAUAAGGAUCGGCUAACUACGUGCCAGCAGCCGCGGUCAUACGUAGGAUCCGAGCAUUAUCCGGAGUGACUGGGUGUAAAGAGUUGCGUAGGUGGCAUAAUAAGUAGCUAGUGAAAUCUGGUGGCUCAACCAUUCAGACUAUUAGCUAAACUGUUAAGCUCGAGACCGUUAGGGGUAACUGGAAUUUCUAGUGUAGGAGUGAAAUCCGUAGAGAUUAGAAGGAACACCAAUAGCGUAGGCAGGUUGCUGGGACGGUUCUGACACUAAGGCACGAAAGCGUAGGGAGCAAACGGGAUUAGAUACCCGGGUAGUC